rnacentral:rRNA from 1 species
CAUACGGAUUAAUUCGAUGCAACGCGAAGAACCUUACCAAGGCUUGACAUGGGCCGGCUGCUCCUGGAGACGGGGGCUCCCCUUUUUUUUGGGGCUGGUUCACAGGUGGUGCAUGGUUGUCGUCAGCUCGUGUCGUGAGAUGUUGGGUUAAGUCCCGCAACGAGCGCAACCCUUGUCCCGUGUUGCCAGCGCGUGGUGGCGGGGACUCGCGGGAGACUGCCGGGGUUAACUCGGAGGAGGGUGGGGACGACGUCAAAUCAUCAUGCCCCUUAUGUCUUGGGCUUCACGCAUGCUACAAUGGCCGGUACAGUGGGUUGCGAUGUCGUGAGGCGGAGCGGAUCCCUUAAAGCCGGUCUCAGUUCGGAUCGGUGUCUGCAACUCGACACCGUGAAGCUGGAGUCGCUAGUAAUCGCAGAUCAGCACUGCUGCGGUGAAUACGUUCUCGGGCCUUGUACACACCGCCCGUCACGUCAUGAAAGCCGGCGACACCCGAAGCCCGUGGCCCUGUGGGGAGCGGUCGAAGGUGGGACUGGGG